rnacentral:rRNA from 1 species
CAGUAGCCACGGUAAUACGGAGGGGGCUAGCGUUGUUCGGAAUUACUGGGCGUAAAGCGCACGUAGGCGGCUUUGUAAGUCAGAGGUGAAAGCCCGGGGCUCAACCCCGGAAUUGCCUUUGAGACUGCAUCGCUUGAAUCCAGGAGAGGUGAGUGGAAUUCCGAGUGUAGAGGUGAAAUUCGUAGAUAUAGGAAGGAACACCAGUGGCGAAGGCGACUACCUGGACUGAUACUGACACUGAGGUGCGAAAGCGUGGGGAGCAAACAGGAUUAGAUACCCCCGUAGUCCCUGUCUCUUAUAC